CGGGCGGCUGCACCAGUGGGGAAUUUUGCGCAAUGGGGGAAACCCUGACGCAGCAAUACCGCGUGAGUGAAGAAGGCCUUUGGGUCGUAAAGCUCUUUUCUUGGGGAAGAUAGUGACGGUACCCAAGGAAUAAGCACCGGCUAACUCCGUGCCAGCAGCCGCGGUAAUACGGAGGGUGCAAGCGUUGUUCGGAUUUACUGGGCGUAAAGGGCACGUAGGCGGCACAGCAAGUUAAGGGUGAAAUCCCGGGGCUCAACUCCGGAACUGCUCUUAAAACUGCUGAGCUAGAGAUAGUCAGAGGCGGGUGGAAUUCCAGGUGUAGAGGUGAAAUUCGUAGAUAUCUGGAGGAACACCGGUGGCGAAGGCGGCCCGCUGGGGCUAUUCUGACGCUAAGGUGCGAAAGCGUGGGGAGCAAACGGGAUUAGAUACCCCUGUAGUC
rnacentral:rRNA from 1 species